GUCCAGGUGCUCUCCUGCCGCCAACACAGCCCUAAUGAGCUCUGCAUAUUCAAAACACAAGUAAUUGAUAGUCCAAUUUAAAGUGUGCAGAGGCCAAAUUUCUUUCCAGACGCUGAAGGAAAAACACCAGCUGAGGAAGAAUGAAGAACUGCCUGUUCUAAGUUAUUCUCCUUCUGUGGUCAUUCGAGCACCAGGAAGACCAGGUUUGCCCCAUCAAGUACCUCAAGAAAGAAGUCAAUUACCUAAAGAAGUCAAGCAAAGAGGAAAGGACAAAAUGAAAAUCAUGUACCAGGGUACACGUCGAGGCUCCAAGCUGGAAUGAAUAUGGCCUUCAACAUACUCUUUAUCAUACAGAAGCUUGUGUUCAGGGCUUGGAUUUUGAAGUCAGACAGACCUGGAUUAAAAACCAAUUCAACUACCUAUUACAUAUGUGACCUAGGAAAAACAUCCAGGCAAGUGGACAGCAUUUGCAACAGCCCAGCAAUAAGAAGGACCAUAUUCUACUUGGGAAAAGGUAAAGUCGUUUCAUAUGGACGGAGCCUGCCAGGAAACCUGUCAUUCAACCCUUUGCAAUAAAACAGCUCCUCAUGAAUGAAGCAAAAUAAAUCAGAAGUUGUGGGCUUUUAAACUCACUAAAUGAAAGCACAGCAUGCAUGCAGCCUCCCUCCAAAUUAAUCACCAGAUUAAAUGCAAGAUGUGCACACCAAAUCAAUAGCUUGUGACGGGGACCUCCUGCCUGUGCUUCAGGAAAAUUCCAUUUCCUUUCAGAUGU
rnacentral:lncRNA from 1 species